rnacentral:misc_RNA from 1 species
AGAUAACAUGUGUGGGUCUGAAUACCUUUCAAGCUUCAAAGAAAUCAAUGGCUAUUAAUAGAACUGUCAAUGUUGAGGCUUAUAACCCAGAAAACACUACAGAGGUCUUAGAUGCUAGGCUAUGUAAAUCUUUGCAUGCAUCGUUGGAGAAAGUAGCGAUUAGUUCCCCUGCAGAUGUGCCAGAGCUAAAACAUAAUAAAAGUGAAAAUCAGAAUAUGAGGCUAGAUGUAAGUUGUCUCAAUUCUGAAAGGCAGAGAAAUUGUGUACCAGAGAAGCUUAU